rnacentral:rRNA from 1 species
AUGGAUCGGUACGAGGUGGUGAGGGACAUCGGGUCCGGCAACUUCGGGGUGGCCAAGCUGGUGCGGGACGUCAGGACCAAGGAGCACUUCGCCGUCAAGUUCAUCGAGCGAGGCCACAAGAUUGAUGAACAUGUUCAAAGGGAGAUUAUGAACCACCGGUCACUGAAGCAUCCAAAUAUUAUUCGAUUCAAGGAGGUCGUGCUAACUCAGACACAUUUGGCAAUAGUUAUGGAAUAUGCCUCUGGCGGCGAGCUAUUUCAAAGGAUUUGCAACGCAGGGAGAUUUAGCGAGGAUGAGGGAAGAUUCUUCUUCCAACAAUUGAUUUCUGGAGUGAGCUAUUGUCACUCUAUGCAAGUAUGUCAUAGAGAUUUGAAACUAGAAAACACUCUAUUGGAUGGUAGUGUCGCACCUCGACUCAAGAUUUGUGACUUCGGUUACUCCAAGUCUUCUGUCUUGCACUCUCAACCGAAGUCAACUGUCGGCACGCCGGCAUACAUCGCCCCGGAGGUCCUCUCUAGAAGAGAGUAUGAUGGAAAGGUCGCCGAUGUUUGGUCUUGUGGAGUAACGCUCUAUGUGAUGCUUGUGGGGGCAUAUCCUUUCGAGGACCCUGAUGAGCCAAGGAACUUCCGCAAAACUAUCACCAGGAUACUCAGCGUACAGUACUCCGUUCCGGACUACGUUCGAGUCUCGAUGGAUUGCAUACAUCUGUUGUCCCGCAUCUUCGUUGGAAAUCCUCAGCAGCGAAUAACCAUCCCGGAGAUCAAGAACCAUCCAUGGUUCCUCAAGAGAUUGCCCGUUGAGAUGACCGAUGAGUACCAAAGGAGCAUGCAUCUGGCAGACAUGAACACGCCGUCACAGAGUCUGGAAGAAGCCAUGGCGAUCAUCCAGGAGGCGCAGAAACCUGGCGAUAACGCCCUAGGGAUUGCCGGGCAGGUUGCCUGCCUGGGGAGCAUGGAUCUAGACGACAUCGAUUUCGAUAUCGACGACAUUGAUGUUGAGAGCAGCGGGGAUUUCGUGUGCCCGUUGUGA